AAACCAAUUAUAGUGAAAUACAGCUAUUGAGAUAUUAAAAAUAUCCUAAUGUGUUCAUUUGCAAGAUGAUAAUAUACGCACCUCUUUAUUAACAUAUGAAAUGACAAGAGCUAGCAGUAGCUUUAAUAGCUACUGUGAUUCCCAGUCGUCAGUAGUAUUUGGAGAGAUCACGAAGUGAAACUUGGAGACAUUCGCAAUAACGAUGAAGCGAUACUGAAGAUGCCUGAGAUUUCUGUUGGUGACAAAGUCACAGGCACUUCUCGCACGGUUACGGGUUGUUGUCUGCGUCCAUACUAGAAGGAAAGGGCAAACUGCAGUUAGAAAUUAGUAAAAAUGAGAAUGUAUAUUUUCUAUCAUCCAAAUACACAGGUCUCCUCUAAAUUCAAGAACUCUGUGUGGGCUCCAGGUCAAGGACCGCGGUUCCGGACACUCUAGAUGUGGACCAGCACAAUUAGCAUCACCUGGAAGCUGGUCGAAAGAGAAUGUCACCCCCACCCCAGACCCACGCAUCGCAGUCUGUUCUUCAACAAGAUCUCCGGGUAAUCUGUGUGCACGUCAUGAUUUGAGAGGCAAGGCAAAACAAAAACUUGAAAGCCUGCUUGGGUCAGACAGACCAGCUAAGAGCCGAGUAGUUGAUCAGUAUCAAAAAGCAUACCUGAAGACCUGGCAGAAUUUCCAGGAAGUGGCAUUUCUCUGCUUUUCCACAGUUCACGUCCCAACCAUAUGGACACUUCCACUCUGAAAUUUGGUUGAUUAUCUUGCCUGUGUGACACAGAAACCAAUUCCCAGCUGCCCUCUGAGAAUUACCAAAACCUUUAACGGAGGACAAAGAAUCCCUUUAAGGUUAUGGAGGGUAAGGAAAUCUAGAAGUAUUACUCUAUCCUUCCAUGUCUCUUCGUGCACUUCCUGAGAACUUUUAUAACUGUCCACUUUAAAAGUUACUCCACAUCAUUUAUUGGACGCUCUGGGGGCAGUCUAUGAACUAAAAUCAAAUGCAUAGAACAUGCCCCAAAUCUAUCAUGAUGAGAAGAUUUAAAUGUACACUUAUGCCAACUGAACUUCAAAAUCCUUUCCCCAUGAUUUCCUCAUGUUUCCCCAAAGACCAAUAGGAGGUUGUUAAAAUGAAAUCAGGUCGAAGGAAUGGGCUCCUAGUUUUAAUUUGAGGGGAAAAGGAAACAUUAAGCCAUAUGUAAUUAUGAAGUCAAUUGUCCUGAGUUUGGAUGCUUUCAUUCUAAUGAAGGUUAAAAUAGUUGAGUGUGGACAGUGAAGAAAAUGAGAAUCUCCUGUUAAUGGUUCUUGAGAACUACCCAGUCUUGCUCAGGCCCAAACGGGAAAGAAUAAAGUAAGACACGUCUUGUGAAAGUUGUUGGGC
rnacentral:lncRNA from 1 species